rnacentral:rRNA from 1 species
UACGGGGGGAGCAAGCGUUGUUCGGAUUUACUGGGCGUAAAGAGCGUGUAGGCGGCCAGACAGGUCCGUUGUGAAAACUCGAGGCUCAACCUCGAGACGCCGAUGGAAACCGUCUGGCUAGAGUCCGGAAGAGGAGAGUGGAAUUCCUGGUGUAGCGGUGAAAUGCGUAGAUAUCAGGAAGAACACCCGUGGCUAAGGCGGCUCUCUAGUACGGUACUGACGCUGAGACGCGAAAGCGUGGGGAGCGAACAGG